GACGAACUGUGCAAACGUUAUUCGGAAUCACUGGGCUUGAAGAGUGCGUAGGCGGUUUUGUAAGUAGGGUGUGAAAGCCCCCGGCUCAACCGGGGAAUUGCGCCCUAAACUGCAAGGCUGGAGUGAGGUAGGGGUGUGUGGAACUUCUAGUGGAGCGGUGAAAUGUGUUGAUAUUAGAAGGAACGCCGGUGGCGAAAGCGACACACUGGACCUUGUCUGACGCUGAGGCACGAAAGCCAGGGGAGCAAACGGG
rnacentral:rRNA from 1 species